AUUAGAAGUAUGUCUGCAGCGUAAAGUUCCAGCACUGAUGAAUAUUCAUAAAAUAGGAUUAUUAAUCAUUGAUUCAAUAGCAGCCCCUUAUAGAGUAGAAGACUGGAAAGAUCAGCUGCAAGGCAGAAGUAAGCGGAAUGUUGGAAGACAAUUACAUGAACUUUGUAAAAAUGAUGAUUUGUGUGUGAUCUGCAUUAAUCAGGUUUCUGCAGUUAUAGAUAAUCAUAGUAUUAUUUCUGAAGAUGCAAUUGAACAACCAGCUUUAGGAUUUACUUGGUCAAGUAUGAUCACCUCUUCCAUAUAUUUUUAUAGAACAAAUUUCGCGCGAUAUGCUUGUAUAAUGUUAGCAUCGCACUUGCCAAGAAUUACUUUUCAAUUCAUAGUGAGCAAAUCUGGAGUCAAAGUGACUCAAUAAAUCUGUGCAUCAUAUAUAACAAAAAUUCUUCUCAAUUUUAUUCCAAUAAUUUACUUAUAUCGUGAAAUAUAUUUUCAUCCAAGAUUUUUAUUACAUUUGUCGCUUUAUAAUCAGACAAUAUUGAAGCAUUAAAUGGAUCUACUGUU